rnacentral:rRNA from 1 species
UACGUAGGGUGCAAGCGUUAAUCGGAAUUACUGGGCGUAAAGCGUGCGCAGGCGGGUUUGUAAGUCAGAUGUGAAAUCCCCGGGCUUAACCUGGGAACUGCGUUUGAAACUACAAGGCUAGAGUGUGGCAGAGGGGGGUGGAAUUCCACGUGUAGCAGUGAAAUGCGUAGAGAUGUGGAGGAACACCGAUGGCGAAGGCAGCUCCCUGGGUUAACACUGACGCUCAGGCACGAAAGCGUGGGGAGCAAACAGG